AAGUCCCGCAACGAGCGCAACCCUAUCAUCUGUUGCCAGCAUUUAAGUGGGGACUCAGAUGAGACUGCCGGUGACAAACCGGAGGAAGUGGGGACGACGUCAAGUCAUCAUGGCCCUUAUGUCCUGGGCUACACACGUGCUACAAUGGCCGGUACAGAGUGAAGCGAAACCGCGAGGUGAAGCAAAACGCAGAAAGCCGGUCUCAGUACGGAUUGGAGUCUGAAACUCGACUUCAUGAAGUUGGAAUCGCUAGUAAUCGCGCAUCAGCAUGGCGCGGUGAAUACGUUCCCGGGCCUU
rnacentral:rRNA from 1 species